UGGCUGCUGAUAAGAGUUUCG
rnacentral:piRNA from 1 species